CGGCUCUCAGUCAUGAAGUGUUCAACUCACAGGGGUAUAAAUGCUCUAAGAGCAGCGGGGCAGAGGCAUUAUGCAAAUGAAUGUUUCAAAAGUAUUUCCGUUUCCGGACUUUUGGUAGCGGCACCAGACUAGAUGUUGGAAGUAACAGUGCCCCCACCCUCACCAUCCUGCCCCCCUCUAGUGAGGAGCUGUCCAGUACAACAAUAGCCACACUGAUGUGUCUGGCCAACAAGGGCUUCCCCUCAGACUGGACCAUGAGCUGGAAAGUGGAUGGGACCAGCAAAAAGCAGGAGACCAGUCCCAGGGUUCUGGAGAAGGAUGGUCUGUACAGCUGGAGCAGCACCCUGACUCUCACUGCCCAGGAGUGGACCAAGGCAGGAGAGGUGACCUGUGAAGCCCAGCAGAAAUCCCAGACUCCAGUUACCAAGACCCUGAGGAAGGCUGACUGUUCUGGAUAGGACCCACCAGUCCCAAACCCCUAUGGAGCGAGGCUGCUGGUUCCUCUGCUUCGACUCUGUUCUGAGAUCAGAUGUUCUCUGUCUUAUUGAUCCCUGACAUGUAGACCAAAAGGGGGCUUUGCUUGAGUUUAUGUGUCAAUCCUCUCUGUAGACUGAGGUUGUAUCAGUGUUAGAUUUGAUGUGUUCUGUUUAAUUACUAUUAGAUACUGUAGGAAUGUUUGCUUUGAUGCUUUAAUUAAUGGAUGAAAAUAAAGAUUUCCGUUUUGGACAAA